UGGGGAAUUUUCCGCAAUGGGCGAAAGCCUGACGGGGCAACGCCGCGUGAGGGAGGAAGGCUUUUGGGUUGUAAACCUCUUUUCUCAAGGAAGAUAAUGACGGUACUUGAGGAAUCAGCAUCGGCUAACUCCGUGCCAGCAGCCGCGGUAAUACGGAGGAUGCAAGCGUUAUCCGGAAUAAUUGGGCGUAAAGCGUUCGUAGGUGGUUUUGUAAGUCUGCUGUUAAAGCGUGUAGCUUAACUACAUAUAGGCAGUGGAAACUACAAAACUUGAGUGCGUUCGGGGUAGAGGGAAUUCCUAGUGUAGAGGUGAAAUUCGUAGAUAUUCGGAAGAACACCAGUGGCGAAGGCGACUCACUGGACAGUUAUUGACGCUGAGGUGCGAAAGCGUGGGGAGCAAACAGGAUUAGAUACCCCGGUAGUCC
rnacentral:rRNA from 1 species